GUGGCGCACGGGUGCGUAACGCGUAUGCAACCUACCUUUAUCAGGGGGAUAGCCCGGAGAAAUCCGGAUUAAUACCGCAUAACAUCAUGUUAUAGCAUUAUAGUAUGAUCAAACAUUUAUGGGAUAAAGAUGGGCAUGCGUGUCAUUAGCUAGUUGGCGGGGUAACGGCCCACCAAGGCGACGAUGACUAGGGGAUCUGAGAGGAUGGCCCCCCACACUGGUACUGAGACACGGACCAGACUCCUACGGGAGGCAGCAGUAAGGAAUAUUGGUCAAUGGAGGCAACUCUGAACCAGCCAUGCCGCGUGCAGGAAGACUGCCCUAUGGGUUGUAAACUGCUUUUAUCCGGGAAUAAACCUACUUACGUGUAAGUAGCUGAAUGUACCGGAAGAAUAAGGAUCGGCUAACUCCGUGCCAGCAGCCGCGGUAAUACGGAGGAUCCAAGCGUUAUCCGGAUUUAUUGGGUUUAAAGGGUGCGUAGGCGGCCUGUUAAGUCAGGGGUGAAAGACGGUAGCUCAACUAUCGCAGUGCCCUUGAUACUGAUGGGCU
rnacentral:rRNA from 1 species